UGCCGGCUCAAACCCACAUACUGUAAGAUCAUGACCUGAGCUGAAGUCGGACACUUAACUGCACCCAGGCACCCCAAUCACAUCUUUAAUAAAGAAAGGGGAAAGGAGCAAAGAAACACUUAAGUUGAUUUUAUUAAAUGUAGGCACCGGAGGAGAGAAUUCAAGUUCCAAAACAAUUCGUUAAAGAGGCUGGAUUUAGUUCUCAUUUAUUUGGUAACCUUUCUAAUAUUAAUCAUCAUGUUGAGGAUUCUGUGAGAAAUGAUACAAAAUAUAAUAGAAGAGGACCAUCAUGGUGUUCCUUAGAGAUUAACUAGAAAAGGGUCAUCUCCAACUUUUGGUUGAAGUCCAUCCUGCUUCUACUUCUGAAAGGCAGCAAGUUUUCCUGGAAAGAACAUCAAGGUGAUAGGGUUGUAGUCUGAAUACAAAUUCUAUAUUACUCUCCUUGGGCGGGUGGUAAGCUCAUUUUCUACAGUAAAAUGUGAAUAAUGCUAAAGGCCAAAUUACCCAUAUUCUAGGAAUGUUGUUAAAAUAAAACAGGGUAAUGGAUUUGAAAGUACA
rnacentral:lncRNA from 1 species